UUGGACUAAAGAAGAAGAAAUUGGAUCAACUCGGUCGUCGGGUUGUACCUGGAUCAGUCAACUUCAUUCCCAAGGAAGAGGGAGGAGGAGCUUCCAAACCUGCAGCUACCAAAAAGUAUUACAAUCUCGGGGAAACCGAAGCCGAUAUUGUUGCCCUAAAAAACUACUUGGAUGCUCAGUAUUAUGGUGAAAUUGCUAUUGGCACACCUCCUCAAACUUUCACUGUUAUAUUUGAUACAGGAAGCUCUAAUCUUUGGGUGCCCUCUUCAAAAUGUUAUUUCUCGGUUGGUCCCCUUCCUUCCUUCGAGACUCUUUCGCAUUAUUGUGGUUGGGUUUUUCUUUUAAGUGUUUUUAGGUGAUUUUUGAUGAUUUUGAUACGAGGAUGUAAAAACCAUCGAAAAGUUUUCGAUGAUUUGAUGCUUUUCAGAUAAAAAAAUCACUUUGAAUUUCAAAAGCAUUACCAAACCACACUUCCUUCAAGUUGUUGCCUUUUGUUACUUUAAUAGUUUGCUGUCAUCUGGGUGCAGCUUGCUUGCUAUUUCCAUUCCAAGUAUAAGUCCAGUGCGUCAACAACCUACGUCAAGAAUGGUAUGAUCAUUUUCCCUUUGUUCUAGGAACUUACUGCUUCAAAGGUUGCCAUGUUUUUCUUGAGAUUUUUUCAUUGACGCAGGCACCUCUGCUGCAAUUCAAUAUGGAACUGGUUCAAUUUCUGGUUUCUUUAGCCAGGACAGUGUUGAAGUUGGUGAUCUUGUUGUUAAGAAUCAGGUAAACGAUAAUGCUUUUUUAUUUGUUUCAGUUAAUUAUUGUUGCUGGUGUUCUUAAUCUGUGCUACUGUUAUUAGGGUUUUAUCGAGGCAACAAAAGAACCAGGUGUCACAUUCUUGGCUUCCAAGUUUGAUGGUAUACUUGGACUUGGGUUUCAAGAAAUCUCAGUUGGAAAUGCUGUUCCAGUUUGGUGAGUAGAUUGUUUUCUUUUAGUUUAAGAAUUUUUAAAUUAUUUUUUCCGUUGUUAUCAUCUCUAUUUGAAUUAUUAUUACUAUCAUGCAAUCCUUGUAGGUACAAUAUGGUUAAUCAAGGUCUUGUUAAGGAAAAAGUUUUUUCAUUUUGGUUGAACCGCAAUGUUGAAGGGGAAGAAGGGGGAGAAAUUGUGUUUGGUGGGGUGGAUCCUGAUCAUUACAAGGGCGAGCACACAUAUGUUCCUGUGACUCAUAAGGGGUAUUGGCAGGUUAGACUCCAUAAUAUUUUCAUUAUUUGCACAAUUUUCCUUGCCUAUUUAUAAUCUCUUGUUUUUCUGUUCUGUUACCUGUUUCCCUAAUUCGCAGUUUGAUAUGGGAGACUUGUUGAUUGGCACUGAAACACUGGUAAUUAUACAAAGCUUACUGCGCAUGCUUAUCAUCUAGACUCUGGGGACAUUAGCUUCUUGACAGAUUUGGUGUAUAUGUUUGUUUUAUGGUAUUGAGAGAUAUGAAUAUUGCUUUCAGGAUUGUGUGCUGGUGGGUGUAAAGCAAUUGCUGAUUCUGGAACCUCUUUGCUGGCGGGUCCAACAGUACGUAAUUUUGGCUGCUAUAUGUCCUUAUUUUCCCUAGUGAACUCCUACAUAACAUGCUUAGUUGCACAUUGCUGCAAAUGCAGUUCAAUGCGUUAUUAUCUUUUAUAAAUGACGUUAGUUCAUGACCACUAUUUGGAGUAGUAAAAUGUCAAAUGUGAAAGCGGAUGAGUUAUUAUUGCAUUACAAGAUUGGAUUAUUACAUUAUUUGAAAUAUCAUUGUUUGUAUGUUUGAAUCUCUUAACAUUUUUCUUGAUAAAAAAGAAAACUUGAAGAAAUGAUAUAAUAUUAUGAAGGGAGACUGAAACAUCCUUCUCAACAACAAAAUUCAAAACAGAAGAACUCUCAAUGUAGAACAUCGUAAAGAUGCUAUUCCAUAUGUACUCCCAAAGUAAAACGUAGUAAAGAUGCUUGAAAAGUAUUCUAUCCUAUGGUAAUUCCCGGAGGGAAAUUGAUCUUGAUACUCUAGAAUUUUUCUCCUUUCCCAAACUUCAUUUCACCACUAACAUAGUGCGCUUAUGAAGAGUCUUUGAUUCACAAACUCCAUAUCACCACUAACAUAGUGUACUUUUGAAGAGUCUUGAAAUCCUUAUCCCUUCCAAAAAUGAAAAGGGCAUCAAUCCACAUGUUUUAUCACAUAUGAAAAGGGCUAUUCCUUAUGCUACCAAAAGCCAUGGAACAAUACAAAAAAGAUGACCCUAUGUUUCUGCACUGUCAAGGAGCGCAACUUUUAAUGUUACAAUAUAUGGAUGCAGACUACAAAUCAUGUGGAAUACUUCAUUAUGAUACUCUUAUGAUAUCUUCGCUCUACCAUUGGCUUGGCAUAGCUCAUCUACCAGUUUCAGAAAGCCAUCUAUCAUGUUUAACAGCCUUAUCUUCUGAAGUGUGUCCCAAGACGGGUUUCAUAUUUAUUUUUAUUUUCAAAUUUGAAGUCUGUGAUCUAUUUGUUUUCUCUAUAAACCAAUGUGGUGAUGAGGCUGCAAUAAAUUCUCCAAGAAUGUGUUUGGUUUUCUAGUCACUUUGCUGUCAUUUGAAUUGAGCACAUGACGCUCUACACAAUUCAGAAAUUCAGAGUGAAUUAUUACUGCCUCAUUUUGCCAGGGAAUAUGGUGGUUUUUUUUUCCACUUCUUGUCCUUGGAUUUUGAUACAUCUGUGUGUUUCAGAGGGAUAGUAAUUAUCACUUCUAAAAGUGUUUCACCAUGCAAGUGCAAUGAAAAAAGAUGUCACUUAGUGAUAUAAUUAUAUCAUCUGUUGGGUGGACAUGGCUUAGCUUCAGUUGGUUUUGCAAUUAUGUUAUCGUUGACUUCGGAAGAUCUUUUAUUUGAUUUUACCAUGUCAUUUCACAUUUUCAGACUGUGAUCACUCAAAUUAAUAAUGCGAUUGGAGCCUCUGGCAUUGUAAGUGAAGAAUGCAAGACGGUGGUUGCACAAUAUGGGAAAAUUAUACUGGAAAUGCUGGUGGCUCAGGUGAGCAUUAUAGAUUCUUAGUUUUUCUUGCAUUCUGAUAGCAUGUCUUUCCAUCUUAUGGUAGUGGGAGAACGAAAAUUUUUGUUCUAUUAUUAGGCUGGCUAACUUUAUUUUGAAAAUCAUUUUAUUGAAGCGGCAUCUGUUUUGUUCCACCUUUUCAGUUAUCUUUCUAUUUUGUAGGCUCAACCACGAAAGGUGUGCUCUCAAAUUAGCUUCUGUACUUUUGAUGGGACUCAGGGUGUCAGGUCAGGUUCAACUCAUUGUUGCUGUUAAUAUGAUCAACAUGCUAUAUAUGUUAGUUAUUUGAUAGGACACUUCUGCUGCACCAAUGAAAUCAUUAAUUAAGUCAACUCUAUGGUUUCAGUAUGAACAUUGAAGUGUGGUAGAAGAAAGCUCAGACAAAUCAUCAGAUGGUCUGCAUGAUGCCAUGUGUACUGCUUGUGAGAUGAUGGUUGUAUGGAUGGAGAAUCGGCUCAGGCUUAAUGACACUGAAGAUCAGAUUCUGGAUUACGUGAAUGAUGUAAGUUUGCUUUCAGUUCUUGGAGUCUUGUGACAACUCAUGCCAACAAUUGCGACUGCAGCUCUGUAACCGAUUGCCCAGUCCAAAUGGAGAAUCAGCAGUUGAAUGUAGCAGUCUAUCCUCCAUGCCCAGUGUCUCAUUUGAAAUUGGUGGUAAAUUAUUUGAACUGUCACCUGAGCAGGUAUGGCAAUUUUGUUCAGUAUAUUUAUUAUGCUCCAGCUAUUGUAUUCAAAUCAUAUUUCAUUUCAUUUAACUUAAUUAAGCUCGAUGGUAGUCGGUUAAUUGCCAGGGUUGACCUGUCUAUUGGAAUUUAAUUUUGUUGCACUCCUCUCCAUUGAAAUGUCUGUCAAUCUACCUUGUGGAAAUAUUCUGUCAUGUCCUUUUUCAUAUACAAAUAUGAUUUCUGGUAUCUGUAACAUUUCUGGAUUUAUUGUCCCUUGAAUGGUUCAGACGUUCAGUGGGACUUUCCUCUGUGUAUGUAUAUCAGGGCAUGCCUAUGUGUUUUAUCCUAAAUGUGUUGUCGCUGGUACCCUGAGGCACUUCUAUGGUGGCAGCAACAAACAGAUGCCACCACGCAGCUAAAUACUCAUUUUAUGGCUAAUUAUGUGGCUCUGUGUCAAAUUACAACCAUGAGAUUAAUCAAUGACAGAGCUGGCAUAGGAAUGGGUGAUGGUAGAUAUUCAUAUCAAGAGAGAAAGAGUGAAGGGGCAGCACUUCUCUUGAGAAUCAAUUUAUAAAACUCAACAAGUUAAACUGCUGACUCUAGAUAUGUUCCCUAGAGUGGAUGUGUGGUUGUUUUGAUAAACUAAUCAACUCUGUCUACACUAAGCAUAUUUUAACUGUCCUCUGUAUAGUGCCAAUGUUUUCUUUUUUGUAUUUUUACUAUGAUAUUGUGGUUUUGUUUUUCUGGAAACACUCUGAAUGGUGGUACUGUGGAUCAACAGUAUGUACUUAAAGUGGGAGAAGGAGUUUCAGCUCAAUGCAUCAGUGGAUUUAUUGCUUUAGAUGUUCCUCCUCCUCAUGGACCUCUAUGGUAUUUAUCUCUCCUAUUGUUUCUUAUAUAAUCUUAUAAAUUCAUAUUAAACACUAGAUUGGUGAUAUAUGCAGUGGCUACUGGUUCUGAUAUACUCUUAAAUCUACAGAAUCUCAGAAAUUGGCCCUCAAACUCCCAUCUAGUGUUUGGCUAAAAUAAAAUCUCAUAUGGCACGUAGUCAUCUGUAAACAUAAAAGAACCCCUACUAAUAGAUUAUAGAUAUCAACAUAGUCUUUGAUUGUAAGGGUUUCAAGCUUUUCUUCCAUAAAUUCUCUCCCUCCCUCCCUCCCUCUCUCUUAGCGGUUGUCUGUUGGUCCCUUUCAACAUGAAUCAACCAUGGGCAUCAAGGGAAGGGAAGCAUCAUCAGAAUUACAGAAACUCCUUCUCAAAUUCCCAUUUAGCAUUAUUGAAAAAAUAGCAAUGAACCCUUCCAACCAACCUAAACAACGCUGUUAUAGUUUUUCUCUGGGUUUGAUCUUGCUAGUUGGACUUUUAUCGGUCUGUUCAGGCACUAGCUUCUAGCUUGUAUUAUGCUGUGUAAUGCUUCAGAGAUAGUAUUUGCCUUCUCCGGUCUAUCAGGAAAAACAAACAAAUCAAUUUGAUUAACAAUAAGAGUUUAUUUUCCCUUCACCAAUGACCAUUGUAUGCUGUCACCUUUCUCUCUCUCUCUGUGCAAAAAUCUGUCCACUCAUCAAAGUAGCAGAGCUAACAGGUUUAUUUUCUAGCAAUUGAAAUUGUAUGAUUCAGAUACUGGUGUUCUACUACUCCUAGUUUUGUGUUAGCGAGUGGCUGCAACCAGAAGAAUAACGUUAAAUGGUUUUUACUACUCACAUGAAGAUUUUCUUCAAAUAAUUUGCUUGUGAGUACUGCAGAACAUUAUCUUAUGAUUUUGCUCGUGGGAUGCAGGAUCUUGGGAGAUGUUUUCAUGGGACGGUAUCACACAGUGUUUGACUAUGGGAACAUGACAGUUGGAUUUGCUGAUGCAGCUUAAAGUGAAUUUCCUCCUCGGCGUCUCGUAGUUUCACUGCCACAUACAUUUGUAUUGGUAUUAGCUUGACUGUGUGCACGACUUUAUACACUGCUGUCUGUAAAUAAAUGUGUAAUGGAAAGAGUUAUGUAAUCUUCACAAUGAUCUGUGAACCUAGUUUGAACUUGAAGAUGGAAGAGAGUGGGUUUAGGGCUAUGUAAACAAUCCUGUCCCCUAAGGUAUGUAAUCAUCUCCUUCUUCAUAAGAAAACAUCGUUCUUUUCAAGCUUUACUCUUUGUAAACAGUCAACCUAACCUUCUAGGGCUUCUAAGGCUCCUUUUCUUCGUAAUUAGUGCUAAUUCAAGCAUUAAAGAGUCCCUUAAACUCGUAAAUAAAACUUGUUUUCGGAGGUAUUUCAGUUGCUCGAGGCCAUCAUUCUAUACCUUCCGUCUCAUCACAGCCUCAGAAAGACCUUAUAAUCUUAGUGAGAAUUCCAGCAACCUCAUCAAAUGGCAAGAUGGAUAAAUAAUAACAAUAUAAUUGUAAUUCAUGUGAUAUUAAAACGAGACAAAACACCUUGGAAAAACAAACAUUGUAGCUUUACACUAAAAACAUUGUUCAUUGUAAUAAUAUAAUAAUGUUUCUAACGCUCCAUCCAAAAAUCUUAACACAAGCUUUUAAGGGUAUUAGAGUUUUUUUACACGAUUCAUUUUUCAUUACCAAAUAUAUGAUGAUAAAAAAUAUUUUUGUAAUUUGAUUGUAUAGAGAAAUGAUUAAAAUAUCAUUGAAAAUAAAAAAAAUUAGAUUUAGAAUCAAUGGGUAUUUUUAUAUUUUCACAAUGAUUUUUUUGCAAUUAUAAUUUAAGCUAAGAGGCAAUUUAAUAUUUUAUCAAAUAUAAAAAAUAAUAAAUAAAUAAAAGAUAUUGUGAAAUGAAAAAAAUAUCUUUAAAAUCAAGAAUUCUAAAUCUCGAGGAAAGGGAUUUGUUGGUCUUUUCAUAAUAAUUUUUUUUGUAAUUAUAAAUUCAGCUUAGGGGCACUUUGAUAUUUGCUUAAAUAAAAAUUUUUAAAAAAGGAACAAGAAGUAUUUCCCCGUAACUUGAUUGUAUAGAGAAAUGAUUAAAAUACCCUUGGAAAAAAAAUUAGCAUCAAGGGGUAUUUUUAUAUUUUCACAAUGGUUUUUUUACUAUUAUAAUUUAAGCUAAGGGGCAAUUUGAUAUUUAAUCAAAAUAUAAAAAAUAAUAAACAAUUAAAACACAUUGUGAAAUGACAAAAAUAUCCUUAAAAUCAAGAAUUCUAAACCUGGAGUGAAGGGAUUUGUUGGUCUUUUCACAAUAUGUUUUUUGUAAUUAUAAAUUCAGCUUAGGGGCACUUUGAUAUUUACCUAAAAAAAAAAAAAAGCAUAUGUAAUGUACCAGGAGGCGUAUGCGGCGCCUCACAACAUCCAAAAAUGCAAUUCUGACAUGUCAUUGGAAGUGAUGCAACGUUCUUUUCCUGUUGCUGCGACACAUGUAUCCGGUGGUGGUCUGGUUUGUCGCUGGUAGGUCUUUCUUUUUUUCUUUCUCCUUCUUUUCUCUCUUCUCCCCCGAAAAUUGCAGCUUAGCCCUUGGUUGUUGACUUGUUGGUAUUUUAACUUCAUUCAUUAUUCUUUUGGUUUCUAAUUUCGGUCUUGGCUUUUUUGUAAAACAAUUAUUUGUUUUUAAUUUCAUCAUUCAAUCUCAAUUUAUCAAAUAUUAUAUUCUCUAAUUUGGUCCUCAUUAUUUGAAUUUUUAAUUUUUUUUUUCUCAUGGUCUUUUUGUAAAAGUUUUAUUAAUUUUCAAUUUCAUUAUUUAAAUCAAAUUGAUGAUAUUAUGUUUUCCAAGUUGUUCCUCGUUGUUUUGAUUUUUUUUCUUAGCUCUUUUGUGAAAAUUAUUAUCUUUUCAAUGUCACCCUUCAAUCCAAAACAUUGUUUUUAUUUUUAUGUCAAUUUUGACUCUCAUUCUUUUGAUUUUUUUAAUCAUUUUACUAAAUUGAUUUUUCUUUUUAUUUUUUCCCUUUAAUAAAAUAUUAGAUUUAUUUUUUAUUUUAAUUUUAAUCACCAUUCUUUUAAUUGCUAUAUAUAUAUUUUUAAUAUUUUUGUAUAAUUAAUUUUUUUUUCAAUUUCAUCUUUUAAUAUAUGAUUAAUGAAAAUUGAACUUUAUAGUUUUUUAGAUUGGAUAUUUCGGGUCUAAUAACCUAGAUUAAAGUUAACACAAGUUUGUUUUUUAAUAAAAAUUGCUUUAUAUUUUUUUAGCAUGUUAUUUCAAUCUUAUUAUCUAGGUUGAGAGUAUGAAGAUAUAUCUCAUAUUAACUUAGCCCUAAAUACUAUAGUUACAAGUUUGUUAUGAAUAUUUAUUUGAACAUCAUUUUUUAAAGGAAAAAAAUAUAGCAUGCCCCAUGGUAAAAUGUGGAUACCCAAGCUAGUUGUCAUUGGAUUGGAUACUCGUACUCCAUGCAUUCGACUUUUCUAUUCUUUGAGAGCAUAGUUUUGAAACCAGGCUUGGUUGACCUGGAGUUGGAAUUAGGGUGGGUUGAAGAAAAAACGAAGAAAAAAAAAUCGGUGUGACCCGGUUGACUCGACGGGUUGACCCGGCAAAACCCGGUCAAGUCCCGACCGCAAACCCGUUGAAUUUUUUUUUUUUUUUACUAAAACGACAUUUUGAUUUUUUUUGAAAAGAAAUUUGACACAGCGACACGGUCAAAACCCGGAACCUGAGCCUUGGACCAGACCGAGUCUUAAAACUAUGUUUGAGAGGUUUAUUGGACAACUCUUGAUUUUUUUUUAAUAAUUUAGAAGAUUCAAUAAAAAAAACAUUAUGUGAACAGGAAAGUAACCCGUAUGAGAAAGAAAAAAUAGUUUGAGAGGGAGGAACCUUAAGAGCAAAAUAAUUAAAUUGAUUUGUUCGUUCUUGGGCCACUCUUUAUUUUUCGUUUCUUUUUUAACAUUUAAUAUUUCACUUUUUGUAUCCCCCCCCCCCACAAUACAACCAUCAAUCCCACAGCAUAGAAUAGAUAAUAAAUAAAAAGAUAAUAUAUAAAGUUAAGAACGGUUGAAAAGACUUAAGAUUCCUUGGAGUUUUACUCAAUUAUAAAAUUGAAUUUAAUAACAGAAACAUUAAGAUUUAAAGUCCUAGUUAAAACCCUGGAGUCCAAUACAUUUAAUAAACCUCAAAAAUAGAUUACAAUAAAGGAGAGAGUUAGAGCCUAUGGAAUUAAUUUCUAAAAACUUUUUGAUAGAAAUUAAACUCAAUUUGCAAUACCAUAUUAGUGGUUAGGACUUUGGCAUUAAUAUAUAGUUAUGGGUUAGUGGGGCAAAAAAGUUUUAAUACUCUAAAGUUGAAGGGUUAGUACUCUAGCCUCCUUUAGUAAUGGGUUUUUUUUUAAAAAAAAAAAAGAAGAAGAAAAUCAAAUACUCUAUAAAGGGAAGACUUCAUCUCAUAACUUCUUGCAUAAAUAAAUUCUACAACUACACUAGAGGCCUAUUGGCGCACCUUUUAUAAUUAAGCCAAUGGAUCUAUUCAUCUCAAUAUUCAACAUACUUCACAAAGAUUUAUAUAGCCAUGUUAAAAAGUAUUUGAAAGUAUGAUAACAGUUAUUUAUUAAAGUGUUUUUUAUUUUAAAAUAUUUAAAAUAUUAUUUUAGUUUUUUUAAAAUAAUUUUUGACAUUAACAUAUUAAAAUGACUUAAAAAUAUAAAAAAAGCAAAAAAAAUUAAAUAAAAAAAUAAUUUUUUUUUCAAAAGCAUUUUUAAAAUAUAGAAACAAACAAGCUUUAAAUCUGAUAAUCAAAUAUGGAUUUUGCUUUAAAAACUUAAGAAAAUGGUUUAUUCUCAAAUUUUAGUUUUCUUCUAUUUAUUUAUAAUGAGAUUUGUUUUCUUGGUUGUAAAGUGAUUUUGAUUUUAGGAUCUUUACUAAACCGUUGAGUUCUUUAAAGAUUUGUAUACUAUAUUGAAUUUGAUGAUAAACUAUACGUACUUGUAUAUUAUUUUGAUUUUUUACAUAUUGUUUGAUUUUCUCACUGAUUAAAAAGAUUCAUUCACAUGAGAAAAAAGAAAAAAGAAAAAAAAAGAAAGAGUAAAAGGAAAGGAGACAGAGUGAAGCUUUUGAGAUGCUGAAAUGUGAACGUAAGAGUACAUAAAUGCUGAAAGAAACACUAAUAGGAGCAAAAGCAUGAAAAGCGUUGGCACUCUCAUGCCCACACGAAGACAAAUUGAAACGUUGCCGUUGUUUCAAAACACAUGUUGUGUAAUCCCCACAUGAAUUAAUAGAAUAGACACCAAAAUUACAGAUGUCACCCUCGAUUGGGGGAUUGCCUUUAGAAAAAGGUAGACUAAUAUUGGUACAUUUAAUCAAUUUGUAGGUCACCACAUUGCUUUAAUUAAAACAACCUAUUUUUUUUAUUAAGUUUAUGUUAUCGGUUUAAUUAUUUUUAUUAAAACAACGUUAUCUUAUUUAUUUAUUUAUUAAAUAAAUUUUUUAUGUUGUUAACCUUAUCGAGUUUGAAUCGGGUCAAUCAAAUUAAUAAAAAUCUAACCAAAUCAAUCAGAUUUUAUCUUAUUAAUACCUCAUCAAGAAAUGAAGCAUUUAUCACCUUUAGAAAAAAGUAGACUAUUAUUGGUACAUUUAAUUGUUUAAUUUUUUUAGAUUGGUUUUAAUCUCGUCAAUCGAGUCACUAAAAAUCUAACCAAAUCAACCGAGUUUUACCUUAUUAAUAUCAGAUCUCAUUUUUCUUGAUUUUUUUUUAAAAUCCUUACAUAUUAGUGAAGCAUUUAUACAUGUGUGCGUAGGUAUAUAGACGAGAGUUGCUUGUGAGAAAAGCCUCUUCAUGAUCAUUAUCCACCUUACAAGCAACGCAUAAAAUCAAGCAUCCCAUCCCAUCUACUAACCAGAAGACACCGUUUAUUUGGUCCAACUAACAGUAAGAUUGACAGGAGAUCGAGUGCUGCGUGAGAUGACAGACUGUUGGAUCAGUCUUCACAUUCCUUAUUUUUAUACACUUAGCUGAGUUUGUUGGCUUUAAUGGCUCUUGCUUUAUUGCAAUUAGCGCUGUUUGUUUACCUUUUGGAAUAUUAGUUGCAACGUCUACAACGCUUCUCUGCCCUCUGCUAGCUGAGGUCCCUCAUGUUUUGGGCUUUUAGCUUAGUUUCUUUUUGCUACAUCUUAUUCACCAGAGCAAGCUUUCUACCAUGCAUGCAUACAUUCCCAGGUCAUAAUCGCAUCAGCAUUGUUACUCUUCUAUUCAAGGAUGUUAAUUCUGUUUCGAUACGUGUUUUGUUUAUUUUAUUAAAAUAAAUAUUAAUGUUUUAGUUUCAAAGUGUUUUGAUAUACCAUUUUAAAGUUGUACUUUUCAUGUGUAUAUAUAUAUAUUAUAAUACCAAACAAAUAUAAUUUUAAAAUUUAAAAUAUUUUUAAAUAGUCAAGAUUAAAUAGAUUUUUAACUUAAAAUAAUUCAACUUAAACAAAAUAUUAUGAAAGUAAAAUUUUUUAACAUAAUUUUUUUAAAUAUAAAGUUAGGUCAAUGUUGUCAAAGCUAAUGGAAUUUAAAGCAUCUAUUGUUUUGCUCAAAUUCCUACAAAAUAUAAACAUGAAAAAAAAACAACAUGAAUAUAACCAAUUAUAUAUUAGUGAUAAAUCUAAUUUUAAAAAAUUAAUAUCAUUGUUAAUGAAAAUAUAUAGUAAUAAUAAUUUUCAAUAUUAUUAUUAAUAUCAUUGUUAUUGAAUAUAGUAAUGAAAAAUAGCUUUUUAUACUUGGAUGGUUUAAUUAAUUAAAUUGAAUAAGGUUCAAUUUGAUUCAAUAGCUUUUACGAUCGGAACAGAAUAUAUGGAAUGAAACCGGAACGUUUCAGCUGAAAUUUAGUUGAAAAAUCCAGAACAGAUCGAGAUUUAAAAUGAGAUAAAAAUUAUUUCGUUUUGUAAAUUAGUAUAAAAUAUUUUAGUAAUUCCAAGCUAAAUGAAAUAGAAUUGAUAGCCUUGCUUCCAUGAAGCUGAUGAAGAGCCUGGCUUCUGUAUAUUACAAGCCCUCGAAUCUAAUCAUUCAAGACAAGAGUCGCUCUCGAACAUAUGAAGAGCAGCUGGCUACACUGAUCAUGACGACGACGACGAUGAUGAUAAUUACAGGAAGGAAGAAGAUGUGGACAUGUCAACGUCACUUGAAGAUGGAUGAUUUCGAGUUUUUUGAAGCAACAUUUUCCUUUUCUUUUUUGCCAUCUUUCCUAAUCCUUGAAUGAUUAAAGUAGAAGGGUGCAUCAAAUGAUUAUCAUUUCGUGAUAGGUAGGCUCUUUUUUUUAAAAGAAAAAAAAGAAGAAGAAGAAGCAAGCAAUAUAUAGCUUAGAUCAGAGAUGUCUUUUAAUUUCCAUGAACAAGUAAUUAGUUGCUUUCGCCAAAAAUACAAAUAUAAUAAUAAAAAAUUAUUACAUCGACUAAUCCUAUAAAUCUUAAAGUUAAUGAUUAUAUAAAUUUUUGAUGGUUAUUAUAUUUGCAAUUUCAAGUUUCGAACUUUAGACUACAUGGAAAAUGAAUUUCUUGGUCUUAAACUUUUAUUAUUGGGCCAUCUAUUUGAUUUUUUUUUUAAUUGUGGGAGUUAUUGUUUUAUAAAAUACUUUUUAUUUGAAAAUAUAUUAAAAUAUUUAUAUACUAGUAAUUUUAUGGUGACAAUUAUUAUUUUACUACUUUUAAUUUCUGAAAUUAUAUAUAUAUUUUUUAAAAAUUUAUUUUUAUAUUAGUACAUUAAAACGAUAUAGAAACAUAAAAAAAUAUUUUUAAUUUGAAGUAAAAAAUUAAAAAAAAUUAAAUUUAUUUGAAAUCAUUUUUAAAAUAAAAAAAUAAACAGGCUAUUACAGCAGGUAGCCACGUGCAAGACGUAUGAUGAUUGAUUGCUUUGCUUGAAGGACAGAAAUCCAUAACUAAAGUUUGAUUUUAGGAGCUAUUAAUUCUUGAUCAGGUUUGCAAAUUACCCACUAUUUACGUUUAGGAAAGAAUUGAGAAGCAAUCUCUCGAUCGAGGGGCACUCGUCAUGAUCAUCAUAAUUGAUUCUUCCUUUUUCAACAUAAUCAUAAUAUUCCUCCCUCCCUGCAAACCUCACAGAAUUCAAACGUUGAAGUAAGCAAGGAAAAUGUGAAUUCACAAUAUUAUCCAUGGAGGUUUCACAUUACGUCAACUAAGAUAUUAUUAUUAUUAUUAUUAGAAUAAUAAUGCUUGAAGUGAAAAAUAACCUGUGCUAGAAUUGAGCACUUGACUCGUGAUAAAUGCCCGGUUUCACAUUCACAUAAUUGACUUCACCUCCGGCAAGCACAUUGACCGGGUUUAUACUCAAAUGGAUUCUAGAAUUCUACCAUUUCUUGGGUGGUUCAACCCACCCCAUCUCAACAUACUCUUAAUUAAUCUUCAAAGUCCACUCCCAUACAAUACUUCAAUUAUCCAUCCACUCUAACUUUUCCAACCCCUCCUACCCACCUUCUACUUGUAAUUGUAAUUUAAAAUAGUUUUUAUUUAAAAAUACUUUAAAAUAAUAUUUUUUUAAAAAUUAUUUUCGACAUCACUGUAUUAAAAUAAUUUAAAAAUAUAAUAAAAAAUUAUUUUUAAAAAAUAUGAUUUUAACUGCUUUUUCAAAUACUGUUUUUAUGAAAUGUUUUUAAAUUAAAAAUAUAUUAAAAUAAUAAUUUAUGUAUUUAUUUUAGUAUUCGUAUAUUAGAAUCAUUUAAGAAAAUAGAUAGAAGACUUUUACUCUUAGCCAAUUUGCAAGCUCUUACCUCCCCUACUAAAUUCUCCACACGUGCCCACGAGGCCUAUGACAAGUCUUUGCCGUCUAGGCGGCCAAAGCUGUCAAACCCACAGCUACAUGGAUGCGUCGUACACUCUUGUUCGAGGCAUUGUCCCAACUAACCUUCAAAUAUUAUCCCUCCACGUUUUCUAUAUAAAAAGGCACUUUAGCAAGUAGCAACAAAACACACCCAACAAAGCAUAGUUUCAUUUGCCAGCUUUGUAAAAUGGACUGGACUAGAGGCCACAGCAUAGGCCACGGCUCCACAGCCACCGUUUCCCUCGCCACCUCUGUCCAAUCCGGUGAUGUUUUCGCCGUCAAAUCCGUCGAGUUAUUCCAAUCUGGAUUCUUGCAAAGGGAGCAACGGAUUCUCUCUUCUCUAACCUCUCCUUUUAUAGUUAGCUACAGGGGCUGUGACAUUACUAGAGAGAACAGCAAAGUUAUGUACAAUCUCUUCUUGGAGUACAUGCCCGACGGCACUCUUAGCAAUGCAAUCCAUUCUCAUGGAGGUCGGCUGGACGAAUCGUUGAUCAGGAACUACACGAGUCAAGUCUUGCAAGGUCUGGAUUACAUACAUUUGAACGGAUUGGUGCAUUGUGACAUUAAGAGCAGCAACAUUUUAGUAGGACCAAGCGGUGCCAAGAUUGCAGAUUUCGGGUGUGCAAGGCGGGUGGAACAAGUAGGACAGAUCGCGGGCACGCCGAUGUUUAUGGCACCAGAGGUGGCGCGUGGAGAGGAGCAGGGGUUUGCCAGUGAUAUAUGGGCUUUAGGGUGCGCAAUUAUUGAAAUGGCUAGUGGCAGUACGCCUUGGCGUAAUGUCAACGAUCCAGUUUCCAUCAUUUACCGGGUAGGUUAUUCGGGUCACUUACCAGAUUUCCCCAGUUGCCUGUCGGAACAAGCAAGGGAUCUCUUGGACAAGUGUUUAAGGAGGGACCCAAGAGAGAGGUGGACAGCUAGUCAACUUCUUAAGCAUCAAUUUUUGGUUGGAGAAAGCAAUUCUCAUGUCGCAAAGCAAAUCCAAGAAUCCAAUUCAAGUUCGAAUUCUCCUACAAGUAUUCUUGAUCAAUGCUUUUGGAACUCACUGGACUUAUCGGAAAGUUUGAAUAACUCGGCCUCUGUCCCUCCAAGCCGUGAAAGUUCAGCCGGAGAGAGGGUCAGAGGGCUGUGCUUGCUCUCAGGGAUGCCUAGGUGGGAUUGGGAUGAGAGCUGGACCACCAUCAGAGGGGAUAGCAGGGAAGAACGUGAUGCAAUUAUGGAUUGCAUUGAAGUCAAAGAUGAUAUAGUUAGUUGUGGCCUGGGAGAGCAGAAAAGCUAUGGUGGUAGCAAGGAGCUGUUAAACUUUCUAGAUAGCAACAUUAGCAGUAGAAUUUUUGAUGAUUUUUGGGCUUCCUGUAAAUAUAGCAAAGUUCGUUUUGGAAAUCCUUGUAUGUCAAGAUUACCCUUACAAGCAUAAAUCAUUCUCUUUUUUGGACAGCUGGGUGGUUUUUUUUCUUCUUAUUGGUAAAAAAGAGAGGUUAAACCCCAUGUUUCGAAUUUCGUUUCAAACAUGAAUGGAGUAGUAAAUUUUGAUUUUUUUUUAUAUUUUACAUCGUUUUGAUAGGAUAAGUUAAAAUUAAAAAUAAUUUUAAAAAAAUAUUAUUUUAAUAUAUUAUUAAAUCAAAUAUAUUUUAAAAAUAACUAUUAUUAAUUAUCCUCUUAAACACUCCUAAAAUAUAAAAAAUAAAGCUUCAAACUCAACCAAAUUCAUUGGUAAUUGUUGAGUUUAGUUAAUUAAACACAAAAGAGCAUAGGGUAUAGCGAGUGGGAUUUGGGAGAUCUUGCCCAUAGUUGUCAAACUUACCAUAAGUACUGAGGAGGAAAAAUAUUGUCAACUCAAAUGGGCAAUCAAGUUAAUUUAAAUAAAUUAUUUUUAAUAAAAUAUCACCGUUUUAAUUUUUUUAAUUUUAAAAUUAAUUUUAUCAAAUUUAACUAGAUUAAAUUACUAAAAACUUAAUUAGAUUAAUCAAGUUUUAUCAGGACAGUAUCUUUCUCUAUUCAACUUGAAAUACAACCCGGAAUAUAAUAACCAUGCACUUACCAAUUGCCAUCCCCUAACCCUAUCUUCUGAUUCCGAGUUGAGUUCAGAUGGCAGAAAUGGCCAAAACCAACCGCGAGUUAGGCCGCUUCCAUUAAAACUAGCCACCAAGUCCUCUCCUCUGUUUCUUUAUUUGGUAGGUUAAGUUUAGACCUAACUAAACAAGGUACCGUUCCAAUUAGGCCACCUCCGCUGCUGUCCUUCGGUCCGGUCCGGUCGGUAAAACAAAUUUAAAUUCCUCCAACUCUACUGGCUGCAUAUCUGGCCACGUCACCUGCUACUGUUAUUUGCAGGUGAGCUUGGAUCAUGAUUAUGUCAGAUCAUUCUGUAUUAAAAUGUCACCAAUUUUAUUAGCUGGAUUCGGGUCACGUGGAUUCAAUUACAUCACUGCCAAUAAUAAUAGAGAAUUAAAUCAAUUGAAUAUAUUAAAUCCACAUUAAUUUCAUCACUAUUAUAUUGCUCCUUUUGUUUUUUUAUUCAUAAUUUUAUAUGAUACCCCAUUUCUAAUUGUUGAUCCUUUGCAAAAAAUAGGGUGCCGUAGAAAAAAAAGUCAAAUUAUCUUAAAUUUUUUUUUAUAUGAUAUAAAAUAAAUAGUAAUAUCUUAUUAACUAUUUACUAGAAGUUAUUUUGAAGAAAGAGAUAUUUAUAUACAAGAGAAAGAGAAUAGAAUUUAUGACUCAUCAGAACUAAUGAACUAAUAAGAACAUCUUCAUUUAAGAUUUUUCUCUCUUUGUAUAUUUAUUUCUUUAAAAUGUGUUAUAGUAAUUAACUAAUAUGAUACUAUUAGUGAUUUUUUUAGCACCAUAAUUUUUUUUUAUUAAUCUCGUUGAAACAUUGAGAAUAUUUGUUAUGUAAAUAAAAAAUUAAUUUCAACGUGAUUAUUUAAAAACUCACAAUGUAUAUUAAUGAACUAUAUGAAGUAUUUUUAAGAAUGUUUAUUAAGAUUUAAUGAAUUUUUUAAAUAAUAAAAUAAUUAAUCAAAAUAAAAUGAAGAAAUUUUUAUGAUGCCCGAGAAGUUAUUAGUGAUAUUCUAGAAGAGAAAUAAACUGAUAGAAGUAAAAGAAAAUAAAAUCCAUGACUCAUUAAAAUAUAUAAGAAUAUCUUUCAAUUUUGAGGGGUGUAGUUUAACUGGUCAUGCUCUAAGUUUGUUCUCUAGAGGUCACCAGUUCAAGUCCUACAAACCUUAAGACCACUGGAGGCUUACAUGAUCAUUAAUUUCAGGGCCCGUGGAAUUAAUCGAGAUACACACAAGCUGACCCAGACACCCACGUUAAUAAUAAUAAAAAAAAUAUAAAUAUCUCUCAUUUCUUUCAUCUACUUGUUUUUAUUUAUUUUUUCAAAAUGAAUCCCAGGUAAUAAUUAAUAAGAUUUCAUCAUCAUUUACUUGGUGAGCCCCAUAAAAUUUUCUUUGUGAUGCAUGCAUGACCGUUGACUUUAGCGAAAAAAGAAAAAAAGUGACAGAGGUAUAUUAGAACAUGAGAACAAACUAAUAUCAUGUUAAGAACUUUUUGAAUUGAAUAGUUUUAAUAAAAUCUUAUAUUUUGAUUUAUUUUGAAUAUCAAGAAUUGAGUUUUAGAUUUUAAAAAAAUUAUACAAAAGUAAAUUAGAGAACGACUCAUCUAUUUUGUUGUUAAAAUAAAUACUAGAAAUUAUUAUUAUUAACAAUUAGUUUUUCUAAAAUAUGCAUUUACUCUUGUUUUUUUGUCACUUUUCUCUCUUCCAUCAAAGGUAAACACAUGCUACCAUUAAACCCUCGACAACACUACCAUCAAAACAAUCAUCCCAUCCCAUAUUUUGUUCUUAAUUUUAUGGCUCAUGUAAUCUUGAGAAACUGGGCCUUAGGGUAGGCAUUUGAAUUUGUUUUUUUUUUGAGUUAUUUGGGGUGAUAGUGAUGGAUGAAAACUUGAGGUAGAAAGAGGGGGUUGUUGUGAUAAUGAUGGAGGAAAAUUACGGUGGUUGAAGGAGGUGAUUUCUUUAUUGUGCGAAAGAUAUAGAGCAUUAAGAGAUUUUUUGAAUGAAUAAGGUGAUAUUAACUUCUUUUUUUAACUACCUUUUACUUUUAUGUGUUUUUCAAUAAUUUUAUUAGAUUGAUAUUAAUUUUUUUAAAAAAACAAAACUUAACAACAAUGCCCCUUAAAGCUCCGAGUGACACCGACCGCCCCUUCCUUUCCCAACUAACGCCGCCUAAAACCCACCACUCUUUCCCGCCAUGUUUCUCCUGACGUUGAGUUAAAGAAGCCCUCGACCUGUGUUCGUUUCAAAAUUCUGUUAACUCCUUAUAUACAAGCAGUUUCAGGAUUGAAUACGAGGAGGAAUUGGACAGUGAAGGUUAAGGUUUGUUCUAAAGCUGAGAGCUCGAGCUUCCCUCUGGAGAAAAGGAGGUUCUUGCUUUAAAUUCCUGGGUUUUGCUUUCUGGGUGUCUUUAGAUGCAUGGGAACUAGGCUCUGGAUAUGUGGUUUUAAUUGUUCUGUGCAUAAAAGUAGUGGAAAACGCAUGUCUGCUCAAAGCAGAGAAGGUUCUGUCUGAUGAGGAUGAACAAGACACACACAGUCAUGUACAUGCCCUGUUUUCUUUUUCUAUAGGGCGAAUCUCCAUUGACAAAGUGGGAAAUUAUACUCAUGUUGUUGUCAUGCGUUUCCAAGCAAAGAUUUUGCAUAGUUCUAUGAGAACCCUUUCUAUCUGAAAGUCUUCGACGAACAUGUAAUCACCAUAACUCCUAUUUUCUCUAAGAUUUUACUGGUAUUUCCUUUAACAAUCCACCAAUUUUGCCUCAAUUAGAAUCUUACCAGGUGCCUUUUCUAUUUGGCUUAGUUUUCCCGCUUUCUGGUAGGAUUUAGUUAAUGUGGAUUAUGAAUCUGAAGCUGAAGAUGAUAUGCUUCGUAUAUCUCGUAAAGGAGAGGGAAACCACUUACUUCCACUUUUUGACUGCUUCUCGUUGGUAUAUUUUGCAGCAGAGGUCUUUCAGAUGUUUGUGGGUAGCACUGGAUAGAAAGAAGUAAGAGUUUUUGUCUUCUGUUCACCUUUCAAUUAUCAGUCUUUAAAUUAUCCAUGGAUGCUUCAGUGUCCUAUCUUGAAUACUGGACUCUCUCUGGGAAUUUAUACUUAACUCUGAAAUUCUGAUGUUACAGUUUAUUUUGUGAUUCGUCUUCUUGCUCAUAGAUGCUGAGGCAUCAAUGAAAGGGUACUCCCUACUCACUGUUUUUAGGAACAAACAUUCAGGUAAGCAUGCUCAUAAUUAUGAUUUCAGCUUAGUUAUUUAUUCAGAUUUUUAUUAUUAGUCACUUUAAUUUCCUUUCCCAGCUACUUCCUUUGAUAGUUGGAACAAGUAAAAUACAGAUAUUCACUUUGCCUCUUGCCUCUUGCCAUAUAAUUUAGUACAUAAUUUAAGUGGUAUAGUGAUGCAGCCUGGAGAUUUAAGCAGCUUCAUAUUUGUAAUUUCAGUAAAUUUCCUGUAGAAAGGACUCUUUUCUGUAAAUCCUAAACGUGGUGCUUAGGUUCUUACUCAAGUAGUGUUUCCUUGUAUCUGUUUUCAAUUUCAAAGUCCCUGAAUCACUUUAUUCCAUAGCCCUAACCCUAUAAACAAACAUAUAUCUUGGAUUUGUCCUGUAUCAUAUAGAUGUUCAGGCUACAAAUGUGAUGGUUUGAAUUGGAGGCCGACUUCCUUCCUUCUGUCUAAAGGUU
rnacentral:lncRNA from 1 species